GGGUUGUGAGGUUAAGCGAACAAGCGUACACGGUGGAUGCCCUGGCAGUCAGAGGCGAUGAAGGACGUGCUAAUCUGCGAAAAGCGUCGGUAAGGUGAUAUGAACCGUUAUAACCGACGAUGUCCGAAUGGGGAAACCCGGUGCACUUCGGUGCAUCAUCGUUUGAUGAAUACAUAGUCAAACGAGGCGAACCGGGGGAACUGAAACAUCUAAGUACCCCGAGGAAANNNNNNNNNNNNNNNNNNNNNNNNNNNNNNNNNNNNNNNNNNNNNNNNNNNNNNNNNNNNNNNNNNNNNNNNNNNNNNNNNNNNNNNNNNNNNNNNNNUAUAGGGGAGCCGAAGGGAAACCGAGUCUUAAUUGGGCGUUAAGUUGCAGGGUAUAGACCCGAAACCCGGUGAUCUAGCCAUGGGCAGGUUGAAGGUUGGGUAACACUAACUGGAGGACCGAACCGACUAAUGUUGAAAAAUUAGCGGAUGACCUGUGGCUGGGGGUGAAAGGCCAAUCAAACCGGGAGAUAGCUGGUUCUCCCCGAAAGCUAUUUAGGUAGCGCCUCGUGAACUCAUCUCCGGGGGUAGAGCACUGUUUCGGCUAGGGGGCCAUCCCGGCUUACCAACCCGAUGCAAACUGCGAAUACCGGAGAAUGUUAUCACGGGAGACACACGGCGGGUGCUAACGUCCGUCGUGAAGAGGGAAACAACCCAGACCGCCAGCUAAGGUCCCAAAGUCAUGGUUAAGUGGGAAACGAUGUGGGAAGGCCCAGACAGCCAGGAUGUUGGCUUAGAAGCAGCCAUCAUUUAAAGAAAGCGUAAUAGCUCACUGGUCGAGUCGGCCUGCGCGGAAGAUGUAACGGGGCUAAACCAUGCACCGAAGCUGCGGCAGCGACACGUAUGUGUUGUUGGGUAGGGGAGCGUUCUGUAAGCCGUCGAAGGUGUGCUGUGAGGCAUGCUGGAGGUAUCAGAAGUGCGAAUGCUGACAUAAGUAACGAUAAAGCGGGUGAAAAGCCCGCUCGCCGGAAGACCAAGGGUUCCUGUCCAACGUUAAUCGGGGCAGGGUGAGUCGACCCCUAAGGCGAGGCCGAAAGGCGUAGUCGAUGGGAAACAGGUUAAUAUUCCUGUACUUGGUGUUACUGCGAAGGGGGGACGGAGAAGGCUAUGUUAGCCGGGCGACGGUUGUCCCGGUUUAAGCGUGUAGGCUGACUUUCCAGGCAAAUCCGGAGAGUUAAGGCUGAGGCGUGAUGACGAGGCACUACGGUGCUGAAGUAACAAAUGCCCUGCUUCCAGGAAAAGCCUCUAAGCAUCAGGUAACAUCAAAUCGUACCCCAAACCGACACAGGUGGUCAGGUAGAGAAUACCAAGGCGCUUGAGAGAACUCGGGUGAAGGAACUAGGCAAAAUGGUGCCGUAACUUCGGGAGAAGGCACGCUGACAUGUAGGUGAAGCCCCUGCGGGUGGAGCUGAAGUCAGUCGAAGAUACCAGCUGGCUGCAACUGUUUAUUAAAAACACAGCACUGUGCAAACACGAAAGUGGACGUAUACGGUGUGACGCCUGCCCGGUGCCGGAAGGUUAAUUGAUGGGGUUAUCGCAAGAGAAGCUCCUGAUCGAAGCCCCGGUAAACGGCGGCCGUAACUAUAACGGUCCUAAGGUAGCGAAAUUCCUUGUCGGGUAAGUUCCGACCUGCACGAAUGGCGUAAUGAUGGCCAGGCUGUCUCCACCCGAGACUCAGUGAAAUUGAACUCGCUGUGAAGAUGCAGUGUACCCGCGGCAAGACGGAAAGACCCCGUGAACCUUUACUACAGCUUGACACUGAACAUUGAGCCUUGAUGUGUAGGAUAGGUGGGAGGCUUUGAAGCGUGGACGCCAGUCUGCGUGGAGCCAACCUUGAAAUACCACCCUUUAAUGUUUGAUGUUCUAACCUGGCGCCGUGAUCCGGCGUGGGGACAGUGUCUGGUGGGUAGUUUGACUGGGGCGGUCUCCUCCCAAAGUGUAACGGAGGAGCACGAAGGUCAGCUAAUCCUGGUCGGACAUCAGGAGGUUAGUGCAAUGGCAUAAGCUGGCUUGACUGCGAGAGUGACGGCUCGAGCAGGUGCGAAAGCAGGUCAUAGUGAUCCGGUGGUUCUGUAUGGAAGGGCCAUCGCUCAACGGAUAAAAGGUACUCCGGGGAUAACAGGCUGAUACCGCCCAAGAGUUCAUAUCGACGGCGGUGUUUGGCACCUCGAUGUCGGCUCAUCACAUCCUGGGGCUGAAGUAGGUCCCAAGGGUAUGGCUGUUCGCCAUUUAAAGUGGUACGCGAGCUGGGUUUAGAACGUCGUGAGACAGUUCGGUCCCUAUCUGCCGUGGGCGCUGGAGAAUUGAGGGGGGCUGCUCCCAGUACGAGAGGACCGGAGUGGACGCAUCACUGGUGUUCGGGUUGUCAUGCCAAUGGCACUGCCCGGUAGCUAAAUGCGGAAGAGAUAAGUGCUGAAAGCAUCUAAGCACGAAACUUGCCCCGAGAUGAGUUCUCCCUGAGACUAUAAGUCUCCUGAAGGAACGUUGAAGACGACGACGUUGAUAGGCCGGGUGUGUAAGCGCAGCGAUGCGUUGAGCUAACCGGUACUAAUGAACCGUGAGGCUUAACCUUACAACGCCAAAGAAGU
rnacentral:rRNA from 1 species